UGGGGAAUAUUGCACAAUGGGCGAAAGCCUGAUGCAGCGACGCCGCGUGAGGGAUGAAGGCCUUCGGGUUGUAAACCUCUUUCAGCAGGGAAGAAGCGCAAGUGACGGUACCUGCAGAAGAAGCGCCGGCUAACUACGUGCCAGCAGCCGCGGUAAUACGUAGGGCGCAAGCGUUGUCCGGAAUUAUUGGGCAUAAAGAGCUCGUAGGCGGUUUGUCGCGUCUGGUGUGAAAACUCGAGGCUCAACCUCGAGCUUGCAUCGGGUACGGGCAGACUAGAGUGCGGUAGGGGAGACUGGAAUUCCUGGUGUAGCGGUGGAAUGCGCAGAUAUCAGGAGGAACACCGAUGGCGAAGGCAGGUCUCUGGGCCGCAACUGACGCUGAGGAGCGAAAGCAUGGGGAGCGAACA
rnacentral:rRNA from 1 species